UACGGAGGGUGCAAGCGUUAUCCGGAUUCACUGGGCGUAAAGGGUGCGUAGGCGGCCAGGUAAGUCAGUGGUGAAAUCUCCGGGCUUAACCCGGAAACUGCCGUUGAUACUAUCUGUCUUGAAUAUCGUGGAGGUAAGCGGAAUAUGUCAUGUAGCGGUGAAAUGCUUAGAUAUGACAUAGAACACCCAUUGCGAAGGCAGCUUACUACACGAUCAUUGACGCUGAGGCACGAAAGCGUGGGGAGCAAACAGG
rnacentral:rRNA from 1 species